rnacentral:rRNA from 1 species
UACAGAGGUCUCAAGCGUUGUUCGGAUUCAUUGGGCGUAAAGGGUGCGUAGGCGGCCAACUAAGUCAGACGUGAAAUCCCUCGGCUUAACCGGGGAACUGCGUCUGAUACUGGAUGGCUAGAGGUUGGGAGAGGGAUGCGGAAUUCCAGGUGUAGCGGUGAAAUGCGUAGAUAUCUGGAGGAACACCGGUGGCGAAGGCGGCGUCCUGGACCAAUUCGUGACGC